GCAUUGGCGGCGUUCUAUACAUGCAAGUCGAGCGAACCAAUGGGAGCUUGCUCCCUGAGGUUAACGGCGGACGGGUGAGUAACACGUGGGUAACCCGGCUGGAAGAAUGGGAUAACUCCCGGAAACCGGAACUUAUACCGGAAAAAAUUUUGAACCGCAUGGUUCCAAAUUUAAAGAAGGUUUCCGCUAUCACUUACCGAUGGGCCCCCGGCGCAAUAACUAGUUGGGGAAGGAACGGCUCCCCCAGGGGACCAAGCCUAACCCAACUGGAAGGGUGAUCGGCCACCCUGGGACUGAAACACCGCCCAAAAUCCUACCGGAAGGCGCCAUAAGGAAUCUUCCGCAAUGGAAGAAAGUCUGAAGGAACCACGCCGCGUGGACCAUGAAGGGCUUCCGGUCCUAAAGUUCUGGUGGUAGGGAAGAACCAGUACCAGAAUAACUGCUGGUACCUUGACCGUACCUAACCCGAAAGCCACGGCUAACUACGUGGCAGGAGCCGCGGUAAUACCGAAGUGGCAAGCGUUGUCCGGAAAUAAUGGGCGUAAAGCGCGCGCAAGGGGUUUCCUAAGUCUGAAGUGAAAGCCCACGGCUCCACCGUGGAAGGGCCUUGGAAACUGGGGAACCUUGAGUGGAAAAGAAGGAGAAGUGGAAAUCCCACGUUGUAGCGGGUUGAAAUUGCCGUAGAAGAUGUGGGAAGGAACACCAGUUGGCCAAAGCCGACUCUCUUUGGUCCUGUUACUUGACGCCUGAAGGCGCCGAAAGCCGUGGGGGAAGCGAACAAGGAUUAAAUUACCCUGGGUAGUCCACCGCCGUAAACGAUGAGUUGCUAAGUGGUUAAGAAGGUUUCCGCCCUUUAGUGCUGCAGCAAACGCAUUAAGCACUUCCGCCUGGGGAGUACGGUCGCAGACUGAAACUCAAAGGAAUUGACGGGGCCCGCCACAGCGGUGGAGCAUGUGGUUUAUUCGAGCACGCGGAGACUACAGUCUGACAUCGUCGCUACUUCUAGAGAGAUGUCCUCGGGGACGAGUGACAGGUGUGCAUGAUGUCGUCCCUCGGUCUGGAAGUUGGUUAGUCCGCACAGGCACCUGGACUAUGCACAUCAUUGGACCUAGUACUGCGUCAAUCGAGAGAGUGGGAU
rnacentral:rRNA from 1 species